rnacentral:rRNA from 1 species
AUCGCAAGACCUCUCACUAUUGGAGCGGCCGAUAUCGGAUUAGCUAGUUGGUGGGGUAAAGGCCUACCAAGGCGACGAUCCGUAGCUGGUUUGAGAGGACGACCAGCCACACUGGGACUGAGACACGGCCCAGACUCCUACGGGAGGCAGCAGUGGGAAUUUUGGACAAUGGGGAAACCCUGAUCCAGCCAUUCCGCGUGUGCGAUGAAGGCCUUCGGGUUGCAAAGCACUUUUGGCAGGAAAGAAAUCGUGUGGGUUAAUACCCUGCGCGGAUGACGGUACCUGCAGAAUAAGCACCGGCUAACUACGUG